GGGCCCGCACAAGCGGUGGAGCAUGUGGUUUAAUUCGAUGCAACGCGAAGAACCUUACCUACUCUUGACAUCCAGAGAACUUUUCAGAGAUGAAUUGGUGCCUUCGGGAACUCUGAGACAGGUGCUGCAUGGCUGUCGUCAGCUCGUGUUGUGAAAUGUUGGGUUAAGUCCCGCAACGAGCGCAACCCUUAUCCUUGUUUGCCAGCGAGUAAUGUCGGGAACUCCAGGGAGACUGCCGGUGAUAAACCGGAGGAAGGUGGGGACGACGUCAAGUCAUCAUGGCCCUUACGAGUAGGGCUACACACGUGCUACAAUGGCAAGUACAACGAGUCGCAAUACCGCGAGGUGGAGCAAAUCUCUUAAAGCUUGUCUCAGUUCGGAUAGGAGUCUGCAACUCGACUCCUUGAAGUUGGAGUCGCUAG
rnacentral:rRNA from 1 species